UGUCCGUGAAGCGGACAUUGCCUGAACAUAUUUUUGAAUCUAUCCCAUGCCUCAAAUAAUAAUUAUGAAUUUAAUUGUAUGAAACAUGUUAUUAAAUUCCUCAUAUG